AGUGAACGCUGGCGGUAGGCCUAACACAUGCAAGUCGAACGAGUGGCGGACGUGUGAGGAAUACAUCGGACUCUACUCUGUCGCGGGGGAUAACGUAGGGAAACUUACGCUAAUACCGCAUACGCUUGUAUGAGCCGAUGUCGGAUUAGCUAGGGGGCGGGGUAAAGGCCCACCAAGGCGACGAUCCGUAGCUGGUCUGAGAGGAUGAUCAGCCACACUGGAACUGAGACACGGGCCAGACUCCUAGGGGAGGCAGCAGUGGGGAAUAUUGGAGAGUGGGGGCAGGCCUGAUCCAGCCAUACCGCGUGGGUGAAGAAGGCCGGCGGGUUGUAAAGCCCUUUUGUUGGGAAAGCGGUACCCAAAGAAUAAGCACCGGCUAACUUCGUGCCAGCCGCCGCGGUAUUC
rnacentral:rRNA from 1 species